rnacentral:rRNA from 1 species
UACGUAGGUGGCAAGCGUUAUCCGGAAUUACUGGGCGUAAAGAGCGCGCAGGCGGUCGUUCAAGUCGAGUGUGAAAGCCCCCGGCUCAACUGGGGAGGGUCACUCGAUACUGAUCGACUCGAAGGCAGGAGAGGGAAGUGGAAUUCCCGGUGUAGUGGUGAAAUGCGUAGAUAUCGGGAGGAACACCAGUGGCGAAGGCGACUUCCUGGCCUGUUCUUGACGCUGAGGCGCGAAAGCUAGGGGAGCAAACAGG